rnacentral:rRNA from 1 species
AUUGAACGCUGGCGGCAGGCCUAACACAUGCAAGUCGAACGAGUGGCGGACGGGUGAGUAAUGUCUGGGAAACUGCCUGAUGGAGGGGGAUAACUACUGGAAACGGUAGCUAAUACCGCAUACCAUCGGAUGUGCACAGAUGGGAUGAGCUAGUAUGUGGGGGAACGUCUCACCUAGGCGACGAUCCCUAGCUGGUCUGAGGGGAUGACCAGCCAAACUGGAACUGAGACACGGUCCAGACUCCUACGGGAGGCAGCAGUGGGGAAUAUUGCACAAUGUGCGCAAGCCUGAUGCAGCCAUGCCGCGUGUUUGAAGAAGGCCUUCGGGUUGUAAAGUACUUUCAGCGGGGAGGCGUUACCCGCAGAAGAAGCACCGGCUAACUCCGUGCCAGCAGUCGCGGUAAUAC